rnacentral:rRNA from 1 species
CCUACGGGAGACAGCAGUGAGGAAUAUUGGUCAAUGGUCGGGAGACUGAACCAGCCAAGCCGCGUGAGGGAUGAAGGUACAGAGUAUCGUAAACCUCUUUUGUCAGGGAACAAAGGCGGGGACGUGUCCCCGGAUGAGUGUACCUGAAGAAAAAGCAUCGGCUAACUCCGUGCCAGCAGCCGCGGUAAUACGGAGGAUGCGAGCGUUAUCCGGAUUUAUGGGGUUUAAAGGGUGCGCAGGCGGUCUGUUAAGUCAGCGGUCAAAGCCCGGGGCUCAACCCCGGCCCGCCGUUGAAACUGGCAGUCUCGAGUGGGAGAGAAGUAUGCGGAAUGCGCGGUGUAGCGGUGAAAUGCAUAGAUAUCGCGCAGAACUCCGAUUGCGAAGGCAGCAUGCCGGCUCCACACUGACGCUGAGGCACGAAAGCGUGGGUAUCGAACAGGAUUAGAUACCCCUGUAGUC